AUGACCGAGCGAAGGCAGGAGCACUCGCCGCCGUCCAAGAUCCCCCGCCUCUCCGGCGCCGACGACGAUGACGGCGCAGGGACGGUGACCAUGGCGGCGCCGUCGCCGCUGGUUCUUGGGCUGGGUCUCGGCGUAGGCGGCAGCAGCAGUGACAGCGGACGCGGCGACGCGGAGGCCUCUGCGGCGACGCGGCCGUCGGCGCUGACGUUCAUGCAGCGGCAGGAGCUGGAGCACCAGGUGCUCAUCUACCGCUACUUCGCCGCCAACGCUCCCGUGCCCGUGCACCUCGUGCUCCCCAUCUGGAAGAGCGUCGCCGCUUCCUCCUCCGCCCCGCAGAGGUUUCCAUCCCUGGCGGGGCUGGGGAGCAUGUGCUACGACCACAGGAGCAGCAUGGAGCCGGAGCCGGACCGGUGCCGGCGCACGGACGGCAAGAAGUGGCGGUGCUCGCGCGGCGUGGUGCCGGGGCACAAGUACUGCGAGCGCCACGUCCACCGCGGCCGCAGCCGUGCAAGAAAGCCUGUGGAAGCCGCGGCGGCCACAUCAGCCGUCCCGAUCCGCGCGAUGCACGCCGCCGACGCGCAGGGCGCCACCAGUGCGCACGCGGCGCCACCGCAGCGCCUCGGCUUCUCCUCCCCCGCCGGCGUCUACCUGGCGCACGGCACCGCCCGUGCCACCUGA
rnacentral:rRNA from 1 species